CAGGCAGGCCUCCUUGAGCUGUGGUGGGCUCCACCCAGUUCGAGCUUCCUGGCUGCUUUGUUUACCUACGGGAGCCUGGGCAAUGGCGGGCGCCCCUCCCCCAGCCUCCCUGCCGCCUUGCAGUUUGAUCUCAGACUGCUGUGCUAGCAAUCAGCGAGACUCCGUGGGCGUAAGACCCUCCGAGCCAGGUGCGGGAUAUAAUCUCGUGGUGCACCGUUUUUUCAGCCCGUCGGAAAAGCGCAGUAUUCAGGUGGGAGUGAUCUGAUUUUCCAGGUGCCGUCCGUCACCCCUUUCUUUGACUGGGAAAGGGAACUCCCUGACCCCUUGUGCUUCCCAAGUGAGGCAAUGCCUCACCCUGCUUCGGCUCGCGCAAGGUGCGUGCACCCACUGACCUGCGCCCACUGUCUGGCGCUCCCUAGUGAGAUGAACCCGGUACCUCAGAUGGAAAUGCAGAAAUCACCGUCUUCUGGCGUCGCUCACGCUGGGAGCUGUAGACCGGAGCUGUUCCUAUUCGGCCAUCUUGGCUCCAAAAUCCAGCCAUAUUUUGAGAUUCUCCUAUGUACCUGAAUCUUCAGAGAGCACAGGUGUCAAUGAAUGAGAAGCCAGGGAAUGGGUCCAUUGGCUUAUAAUAAAUAUUGAAAUGACUUGUAAAAUGUACUGUGAUUGUGACACGUGAUUAAAAAAGGAAAAUAUAAAUAUUUGUGUAAUUUCUCUCAAAAUGCCUUUAUACAACAAAGAUUAUACAUGCAAAAACUACAGAACUUCUUCUGAUCAUUGGAUAAAAGAAAUCUGUGAUGGAAGAUGGUCUGAGAUUAGGGGGACUCAAUUUCUUCCCUCAUGAAUAGAAAAUACAUUUACAUUAUGUCAUAUGAAAUUAUUGAACAGCUGCUUGGAAAGAGAGAAAAACAAGAACACCAGCCUGCCAAGGGGAUGCAGUGCUGACAUGAGAUCAGAUGCAUAGAGUAAACAGAAAUGGCAUUCAGGAAGGGUGAUAAGCAAUCAAGUAAAGACCAAAGUGAGAUGCUCUGACCUUAUAUUUAGCAUCCGUGCCAAAUUAGCAUAGCUGUGCAGUGUACUAGAAAAUUAAGUGGAAAAAAAGGACAAAGUAAGUGUAAAAUCAAAGCAGAAGUUGCACAUGUUUGGAAUAUCUAAAAUAAUUAUGCUCUUUCAUAUCCAGAGGGCUACACUGUGGUCAGCUCAUCUUUUCAUGGGGAGCCACAGGUUCAAAAGAAAAUACAAUGAGCUUGACCUAUACUAAUUAAACAGCAGCAGUUUACUCUCUCUGGGUCUUGGCCUAGAUGAGUCUGAGUGGUCUCGGGGUAAAGAGGUGACUUGAAGAGAGGAACAAAGAACCUUAGCUUUAUUCAUUAUGCUACCCUCAUUUUCUUUCCUGCUCAGCCACAGAUCAUUAACUCAGCAAGUUUUCUUUCCACACACCGAGAGACUGCUAUACCCAGUUUAACAUAUAUGGAGUCUUGUGAUUUGUCAGAAAGCUGCAAAGGUAGAAAAACAUGAG
rnacentral:lncRNA from 1 species